AGCCGAAACGCCGCCGCCGGCGGCGUCCGCCGGGGUUGAUCUCCCCGGCGCUGACGAGGCAGAUCCAC
rnacentral:hammerhead_ribozyme from 1 species